rnacentral:misc_RNA from 1 species
UUUUUUUGGAGCCAAAUGCAACAAGCGUAGCAAUUUAGAGAAGUGCUUUUAUACCGAUUGUCUAGAGCUGGAGAAUUGCAGAUCUAUAAGUAAGCAGGUGAAUCAUUUGGCAAUGUUGCAUAAAGGACGACCACGUGAAGAACUUGUUUUAAACUGCUCGACCCAUUCCUGAAUCCUCACACAAAAUAGUAAGAUUGGGGUUCAAUUUGCUCAGUUAAUUGGUUG